GGAUGUGAGGGCGAUCUGGCUGUGACAUCUGUCACCCCAUUGAUCGCCAGGGUUGAUUCAGCUGAUCUGGCUGGCUAGGUGGGUGUCCCCUUCCUCCCUCACCACUCCAUGUGCAUCCAUCCCGAAGCUGUGCGCUCGGUCGAAGAGGACAACCAUCCCCGAUAGAGGAGGACCGUUCUUCAAGGGUAUACGAGUAGCUGCACUCCCCUGCUAGAACCUCCAAACAAACAAGCUCUCAAGGUCCAUUUGUAGGAGAACGUAGGGUAGUCAAGCUUCCAAGACUCCAGACACAUCCAAAUGAGGCACUGCACUUGGCAGUCUGCCUUUCUUA
rnacentral:snRNA from 1 species